rnacentral:rRNA from 1 species
GAUUGUCAAGAUUAGCCAUGCAUGCCUCAGUAUAAGCUCCAACAUGGCAAAGCUGCAGAUGGCUCAUUUAAUCAGUGGUUGUGCAUAUGAGUAUACUUUGUACAUGGAUACAUGUGGAAAAUCUAGAACUAAUGCAUGUGCAACUGCCCAACUGUGGGGACAAGGCUUUAUUUUCUAGUAGUGGAGUCAACCCAGGACCCCUGGUUGUCUGGCGACUCGUGGUAACUAAAUAAAUCGCAUGGUGUGCCAGCCAGUGAUGAAUCGUUCCAGUCUCUGACCUAUCAGCUUCCGAUGGUAGGGUAUUGGCCUACCCUGGCCGUGACGGGUAACGGGGAAUUAGGGUUUGAUUCCGGAGAGGGAGCCCGAGACAGAGCUACCACAUCUAAGGAAGGCAGCAGGCGCGCAAAUUGCCCACUCCUGACACUGAGAGGUAGUGACAAGAAAUAACAAUAUAGGGCACUCAUGUCUUGUACUUGGAAUGAACGGAACCUACAUCUUUG